UACGAAGGGGGCUAGCGUUGCUCGGAAUCACUGGGCGUAAAGGGUGCGUAGGCGGGUCUUUAAGUCAGGGGUGAAAUCCUGGAGCUCAACUCCAGGACUGCCUUUGAUACUGAAGAUCUUGAGUUCGGGAGAGGUGAGUGGAACUGCGAGUGUAGAGGUGAAAUUCGUAGAUAUUCGCAAGAACACCAGUGGCGAAGGCGGCUCACUGGCCCGAUACUGACGCUGGGCGC
rnacentral:rRNA from 1 species